UACAGAGGUCCCAAGCGUUGUUCGGAUUCACUGGGCGUAAAGGGUGCGUAGGUGGUUCGUUAAGUCUGAUGUGAAAGCCCUGGGCUCAACCUGGGAAUGGCAUUGGAAACUGGCGACCUAGAGUGCGGUAGAGGGCAGUGGAAUUCCCGGUGUAGCAGUGAAAUGCGUAGAGAUCGGGAGGAACAUCUGUGGCGAAGGCGACUGCCUGGACCAGCACUGACACUGAGGCACGAAAGCGUGGGGAGCAAACAGG
rnacentral:rRNA from 1 species